GAGCCCAAAAAUAUCUAAGGGAGAAAGAGAGGGAGAGAGAGAGAGACACGAGAGAGAAAGAGAGUUCUAGAGAGAACUCAAAGAGAAGAAGGGAGAAAGUGUAGGAAUGAAAGAGGAAAUCCAAGAUUUAGCUGGAAUUCACCAUGGUUAUGCAAGAACAUGUGGUGUUAAAGGUUUAAGAAGUGUUAUGGUUCUUAAAGAGGCUAAAGAGGAUUUCACCAUGUCAAGACGAAGACAUUGUCCAACUGUUACCGAAAGCCCAUCACUGUGAGCCAUCGGGGAUCAACACUAGAGUUUGUACCGAGGUUCGCCUCUCUGUCAAGCCACCCGAGAAGUGUCUCCGUGUAGAGAUAUAGUAUAAGUUACCAAGCUUAGGUUUGUUCAGGCUAUGAUGGCUUUUGUUGCGUAUUAGGUUCAUAUGUAAUUUUGGGUUGAGAACUUUUGCCUAUACUUAUAUGUCUUGGACAGUAUAUACAUGAACUGCGUAUGUGAUAUUUGUAUAAAUGAUGUAAUGUUUAGGAUCCUGGCAUUUAAGCAUUGCUCAAUAGAUGUUCUGUUG